CACCAGACUACAGUGCAGCUGAACCAAAGAAGAGUUAAACAAAACCCCACAGAGAAAAUUAGCAAGAUUGCAAAGCUGUGCAUUUCCAAGGAUCCAGACCCGGGAAGGGCUGAGCCUCCUCAGCUCCCCUUGCUUGCAGCAAAUAUACUGACUGUGGGGUUUGAAGAUAUCUGCAUCAUGCCGUGGCAGUGAGAGAUGACGAUACUCAGCAUGAUUCGGGUGCAGGUUGGGUGACUCUCUGAAGCCGAGGCCAAACACCCGGAUCCUGGUGCAGUCAGAGGCACGGACGUCGCAGAGGCCCCCGUUCUCUAAGCCUGUGAUCUCCAAAGCUUGUUCUGAAAGGGGACUGAUACGAUGACAAUCUUCAAACUGUUACCACUGACACUGGAGGACAUUCGUACUGCCUCCCACUCACCCAUCAUGUGGAGAAGCUGAGGACUUUUCUGGCAACA